UACGGGGGGAGCAAGCGUUGUUCGGAUUUACUGGGCGUAAAGGGCGCGUAGGCGGCCAGCAAAAGUCAGUGGUGAAAUCUCCGAGCUUAACUCGGAAAGGUCAACUGAUACUGUGCGGCUAGAGUGCGGAAGGGGCAACUGGAAUUCUUGGUGUAGCGGUGAAAUGCGUAGAUAUCAAGAGGAACACCUGCGGCGAAGGCGGGUUGCUGGGCCGACACUGACGCUGAUGCGCGAAAGCGUGGGGAGCGAUCCGG
rnacentral:rRNA from 1 species